UUGCUGCCAUCUGACCAAGAGUUAACGGGCUCAAGCCGUGGAAACAACCUCUUGCAGAAAUGUAGGGUAAGCUGCGUACAAUAACCCUUGUGGUCCGGCCCUUCACCGCCCCAUGCAUAAUGGGAGCUUUUUUGCACGGGACUGCCCUUUUUUCUCAUCUAUUUCUUAUUUUCCCUUUGUGCUUCCUGUAGUUCUCACACACUUAUCAGUUUUCAUUCCUAUUAUUCCUUCUCUCGUCCAGCAAUCUAGGCAACCAUUAGUCAUUAACUAUAAAUGUUGUAUUUGUUUAUUGUCUCUAAGAAGAAAAAAACAUGUGAUCCUUUGGCACCAUUAUGGAUAUUUGUAAAUUGUUUUAUAGCCUCACUUUUGACUCUGAGAAACUAAUUAGAGUUGUAAAUGUUUGCAAUAGAGGGGUGUAAACAAGUUGAGAAGCCUAAGUGGGUUUCGUGACACUUUUCUACUUACAGAAGUUGGGCUCAGUAUGAGAUGAAUCAAGGCUAAAAUUGGAUCCGAGAGUUUUAUGUGGUUCAAAAAUUCUACCAGCCUAAUUCUCAAAAAAAUAAAUAAAAUAAUUCUACCAGCAUAAAAUUGAAGUCUGAAAUCAAGUUGACCCUAACAGACAUAUUCCUUCUGUUUGGUACCAUAAGAGAAACUGAGAAAAACUUGGUAACAAAAUUAAAAGAGGGAUAUCUUUAUUUACUUUUUUUUUUUAAAUGGAAGAAAAUUAAGGAAAGCUGAGCCACUAGCAAAUUUACUCCAUGACUUACUUGAGGUACUAUGCACAAGCAAAGAAUUUCACCGAGGUUAGAGGUCCUGGAAGUGAGAAGAACAGAACAAAGGAUUUUCACAGUUUUCUCUCUCUCUCUCUCUCUCUCUCUCUCUCUCUCUCUCUCUCUCUCUCUCUCUCUCUCUCUCUCUCUCUCUCUCUCUCUCUCUCUCUCUCUCUCUCUCUCUCUCUCUCUCUCUCUCUCUCUCUCUCUCUCUCUCUCUCUCUCUGAACAGAACAAAGGAUUUCUACAGUUUCUUCUCUCUCUCUCUCUCUCUCUCUCUCUCUCUCUUAUAGAUUACUGAGAAGGAUGAGACAGGGCCUUUCUGUACUCCUCAGUAUGAUACCAAGGAUGGGUGAAUGGGUACGUGUAAAUAUAUGAGUGGUCCAACUUUUCAAAAGUCACUCUCUCGCAGCUAUCAGGGGCGUGUACCCAAUGUCGUCAGCCCACAUACAAUCUUUUCGAACUGUAGGGAGGUGAGCUAUUUGUAUUACAGAAGCAUAGUCACCAGCCAAUUUUUCACGGUCUCUAGUUUUCUUUGUUGACAGAGUUCGAGAAUGUAGAUCUUUGUCAAAAGAUAGCUUGUUCGGAAGAAUCAUCUCAAAAGUUGGUUCAACUGUGGAUUCACCUUUCUUGGUUGAUUUGGAUUUUUCUGAAACCUUGUCAGAGAAAGGCUUGCAACCCGAAAGAGAAAGUGACUUUUCGCAACAAGUAAUCGAAACAUUUUGAUGUGGAAAAGAACGCACAGACAUGAGGAAUAUGGUGGGUGAUUGUUAAAAGGAUCGAGAAAAUUAAAAUUUUGUCAAUAAACAUCCAAUGUAGAUAUGAAUGUCGAGGAAGGAUGAGCAAAGUCAAAAAAGGAAUUUGGUGUGAGGUGGGAAUGUAAUUACUUUAGUUGACAAAUUCUCCCUCACAACAAAUUCCUUUUUUGACUUUGCUCAUCCUUCCUCGACAUUCAUAUCUUCAUUGGAUGUUGUUUAUUGACAAAAUCUCAAUUUUCUCGAUCCUUUUAACAAUCACCCACCAUAUUCCUCAUGUCUGCGCCUUCUUCUCCACAUCAAGAUGUUUCGAUUACUUGUUGCGAAAAAUCACUUUCUCUUUCGGGUUGCAAGCCUUUCUCUGGCAAGGCUUCAGAAAAAUCUAAGUCAACCAAGAAAGGUGAAUCCACAGUUGAACCAACUUUUGAGAUGAUUCUUCCGAACAAGCUAUCUUUUGACAAAGAUCUACAUUCUCGAACUCUGUCAACAAAGAAAACUAGAGACCGUGAAAAAUUGGCUGGUGACUAUGCUUCUGUAAUACAAAUAGCUCACCUCCCUACAGUUCGAAAAGAUUGUAUGUGGGCUGACGACAUUGGGGUACACGCCCCUGAUAGCUGCGAGAGUGUAACUUUUGAAAAGUUGGACCACUCAUAUAUUUACACGUACCCUUUGAAAAGCUCCACCAGCCUAAUUUUCAAAAAAAAUUCUACCAGCCUAAAAUGGAAGUCAGAAAUCAAGUUGACCCUAACAGACAUAUUCCUUCUGUUUGGUACCAUAAGAGAAACUGAGAAAACCUUGGUAACAUAAUAAAAAGAGGGACAUCUUUAUUUAACUUUUUUUAAAUGGAAGAAAAUUAAGGAAGGCUGAGCCACUAGCAAAUUUACUCCAUGACUUACUUGAGGUACUGUGCACAAGCAGAGAAUUUCACCGAGGUUAGAGGUCCUGGAAGUGAGAAGAACAGAACAAAGGAUUUUCACAGUUUUGUCUCUCUCUCAUAGAUUACUGUGAAGGAUGAGACAGGGCCUUUCUGUAUUCCUCAGUAUGGUACCAAGGAUGCAAAUAAAACUUUUUUUCUUCAUCUGGUUGGAAGCUUGGGGGUCAUCUUUACUACCGAGAAUCUGAGGAAGAGGAAUAUCACUCAUUUCAGUUGGUGUUAUAUGGUAGUGGAAAGAUGUGAUCCACUUACUGUUUCUCUGUCAGUUUCAACAACAAUUGGUGGUCGAAUGGAACCUGUUUGGUACUGAAUAGGUAAUGUCGGCAAUUGUUAAAGACUUGUUUUAACAUCAGGCAGUUAGAAGAAUAAGAGCUUGGACUCCACGAUUCGGAGCCUGUUUGGUAUUAAAUAGGUAAAGUCAGCAAUUGAAAGGUUUGUUUUUAAGUCGGCCAACUAGAAGGAAGAGAAGAAAAAAACCUUGGGAAGUUGCUUAUUUGUGCUCAUGACAUUUGGAGAGAAAAAUCAGAUUUUCGAGAUUGAAAGUUUGUUUUUAGAUAUCAGAUGAUCACUUUUGUUGUUUCAUAGAAGUUUGGAGUACCUUGGCGGACACCGUUUAUUGUUAGAUGAUUGGAUACUCCUUGUAGGAAGUCUUCUUUUUUUUCCUCUCUACGUACUCUGCUUUUCAGUGCCGAGGGUCUACUAGAAACAACCUCUCUACCACACAAAGGCAGGGGUAAGGUUUCCAUACAUCCUACCCUCCCAGAACUCAUUUGUGGGAUGAUACUGGGUAUGUUGUUGUUGUACUUUACUUUUCCAUACCACUUUUAUAUAUGGGGUUUUCACAUUUACAUAAAUAAAACUUGAUUUUCUUAGAAUUUGUAGAUUUCCACUGGAAAAUUAGUUUUACUACCGGAAGUGCUAGUGUGGGACAAUCUACUUUGACUUGUUUUUAUAAUUUACAUACGUCUUAUCAUUUCAACUCCUCUACUAGUGUCCAGUAUUAGUAAUAGGGAUAAUCAUCAACGUACUUGUAUUAUCCAUGAAGUGCCUAGAAAACUCAAAAUGAAGCACCUAUAUAAUCAGUGUAAAGCCGUAGAGGUAAAAGAAGGAGAAGAAGGAAUGAGAAGAAUUUGAUAAUCUGAAUAGCUGGAGCACAACUUGCACAUGGAAAUUUUUUGUAGUCUUGCUCUUUUCUUCUCUGAAGCCUUUUGUUCUAGUUAUCUUGUUUUCAUUUUCCAUUUCUCUCCUGGUGCUUCAAAGUUCCUCUUGCUUUGAUUUCCUUAGGUGUAUAUACAUGAAAUUUUGAUGAGAAGAAAUUGAUGUUUUUGGUAUUUGGGGAUGUGAAGGGGAAGGAGAUGGUAAGUUGUUGGCUAGGGGGUAUGAUUAAAAUCCAUUAUACAUUCUCUUGCCUGUCUAUCUAAUUCUGUAUAUUGCCCAAUUAAAAUGGAACCUAACGUGAAGAUUAAGGAAAGAAACUAGGUAACUUUCAACAUAUAGACAUCUAGGGACCUCUUGACAUUUCUUAAGGAUGCCUCUGUGUGCUCUUCACUGAUCCAAAAACUUGUAGCUGUGUUCAUGAAAUUGGAGAAAGGAAAAAGAAAUGUGAAGGUAAAACAUGAAAAUGAAUGAUUUUUUCAAAUUUGCACGGUUGAUUUGCUAUGUUGCUCCGACUCUCCAAAAAUAAUGCCACACUCCUGUCGGAUCCUUAAAAAAUGUACUACUUUUAUAUAUUAAGAAGCAGGGAGAUCGACAACUCUCCUCAGUGCACUGAUAUCCUUUGGUGUUCGGAUGGAAAUUAAUCUGGGUUUACUUUGUUCUUUUGCAGGAUACGUUUUGAUAGUUGUCAAUUCUCACCUGCUGAUGGCAUUUUACAUGUCCAGCAAAGUAGGAAUCAGACCUGAAGGUACUGACUAGAGCAGCCAUAUUGAUUUUUCAACACAUACACCCCCGGCCAAAAGGUUUCAUUUUUCCCCUCUUGUUUUUCUUCUCUAACACAAGAUUCAUUUUAUUAAACUAGAGUGCAGUCGAUUUUUGGAAUUAGCAUGUAGGUGUAACAGCGCAGUUUUAUGUAGAUAGAUCUUUGGUCUCUGAGUUGAAUACUUAAGAAAUACAUGGCAAUUGAUUUAGAGUUGAGAGGAUGUUGUAGUAUUUGUAUUGUUCAGUCAUAAUUGCAGAUAAUAAGGUAUCUUCACACAACUUUUUUGGUUCUCUUUUGUGCUAUGUUCUAUUUUUAUUUAUUUAUUUUCGAUAACGAUGCUAUUUGGAUCAACUUGCAUAAUGAUUAACUUAUGAUCACUUUGGGUUACAUUCAAUGUAUUCAUUCAGCAUUAAGAUAUGCCAAAUAUUUGACAUAAUGUUAACAGUGAACCAAGGGCCUUUCAGAAACGUCUCUACCACCUUCACAAGGUAGGGAUAAGGUCAGGGUACACAAGACCCCACUUGUAGGGUUACACGAGUGAGUCAGUGAAAGCCAAAAAGAAAAAAAAAGUGGAGUUCCUGUAACUUUCUUAAAUAGUACCAACAGAAUGGGGUCUCAAAAAGAGAUCCAAAUCAUGCAGCCCAAUCUUGUCUUAUAUUCAAAUGUACAGUACUUGUAGCUCAUAAUGCCAUGAUAGAUGACUAAUAUAUUGUCUCUAAUGAAUGAGAUUUUUGUGAAUUUUAUACUUUUGUAGUUGGAGGCAUGUCAAUUUUCAAUGACAUCCAUCAGUCCUUCAAUUUUAUUUAAUACUGCUGUAUGCAUCAAGAGAGAAGAGUAUUUUAUUAUCUAGAAAAAACCAGGAAGAUGAAGG
rnacentral:lncRNA from 1 species